UAAGGUAUAAGACAUGUUCUAUCCCCUAUUCCUGUAUGAACUACGUUAUGUACACAGUCCUGUAGUUCCGGAUCUGACACGCGGCACGGAGGCUGCCGCGCCAUCGCACGAGUCUUCCGCCCGUGCCAUCCCCUGCGUGAACCAACAAGAUGUAGAGCAACAUCUCAACCACGUCAUGCUUGCUCGAAUCACAUGCGAGUAGAGUACAACACAAUUAAGGUAUAGGAUAUGUCCUAUCCCCUAUUCCUAUAUGAACUAUGUUAUGUACACAGUCCCGUAGUCCCGGGUCUGACACUUUUGUAGAGCUUAUGCAGUGGUGAGCAUUUUUCACUUUAAUUUUUUUUAGCUUUGUAGAGCUUUUAUCUGGUAGCUAUCACAUUAACUCCUUAUGCCCUUUUCUCAUCAUCACUCGAAAAGGUGCAAUGAAAGGAAGAAGGUUCUUAGAGUUGUUGGUCAGUUAAAUGCCUCUAUCAUGACCCUAGAUGGAGUUGCAUUAGAGCCUUGGACAUUUAAUCAGACAGUGUCAUGCAAAGAGCUCAUGAGGAUGAUUGUGUUGCACGAGUUGCCUUUCUCACUUGUGGAAUAUGAUGGCUUUAGAAGGUUUGUGUCCAGUUUAAACCUAAGAUUUAAGAUGAUUUGCAGAAACUAUAAGAUUUUCGAACUCGAAUGACCCUAGAAACCGUUGAAGCUCUAGUGUGCCUGCAAGACUGGAUGAAGGAAAACGCUCAUACUUAGCGCCGCAUGGAUUCGGUUCAUGAAAUUAUCUCAGUUUUGGAAGGUGAUGAGGCCGCAGAGGGACAGUAAGGUUCAUGAUGGUUGUGAGAAGUGUUUGAUCCAGUAACAUCCAAUAGGUGAUGAAGCAAAAUGUGGUGAAAACUGAAAAGUUAAAUGUUAUUUAUGAGUAAUCACUAGCAAAAAGAUGAGUUAUGUGUAAUGGUAGAGAUGAAUCGGCAACUGAUGGCGAAAAAAUAUCCAAUCAUUGAUGAUGAAUUGUAAUGGCAGAAAUAAACUUCUGAUUAUUAAUUGCUAAUGGACAUGGAAGUUAAACUCUUUAUA